rnacentral:rRNA from 1 species
UGAGGAAUAUUGCGCAAUGGGGGAAACCCUGACGCAGUGACGCCGCGUGAGUGAUGAAGGCUUUCGAGUUGUAAAACUCUGUUAGGUGGAAAGAAACACUCCAGCGCUAAUAUCGCUGGGGCUUGACGGUACCACCAGAGGAAGCACCGGCUAACUCCGUGCCAGCAGCCGCGGUAAUACGGAGGGUGCAAGCGUUGUUCGGAUUUACUGGGCGUAAAGGGCGUGUAGGCGGUUGGCUAAGUCAGAUGUGAAAGCCCUUGGCUUAACCAAGGAAGAGCAUUUGAAACUACCUGACUUGAGUACGGGAGAGGACGGGGGAAUUCCCGGUGUAGAGGUGAAAUUCGUAGAUAUCGGGAGGAAUACCGGUGGCGAAGGCGCCCGUCUGGACCGAUACUGACGCUGAGACGCGAAAGCGUGGGGAGCAAACAGGAUUAGAUACCCUGGUAGUCCACGCCGUAAACGAUGAGCACUAGGUGUAGCGGGUAUUGACCCCUGCUGUGCCGUAGCUAACGCAUUAAGUGCUCCGCCUGGGGAUUACGGUCGCAAGACUA